CAGAGAUGACGACAUGUGAGACAGGAUGUGCAGUGUGUGUAAAUCCUGCAGCUUCUUCCCUAUUGCACUGCAGGGAUUUCCCAUUUUACACGUGAACGCGCCCUCCCGCACGUAGGCUUGUUUUACGUGCCGUGACAACCAAACAGGAAAUGAGUGUAGAACAGCUCGGUGUAUAUCGAGCGUUCUAUUGAUUUAAUGUGUAUAAGUCAUUGCCUUUGUUUUAUGUUGCAAUAUUCCCUAUAUGUGCAUGGCGUACUAUACAUCGAGUUAAGCGGCAGAACAGGCUGUCUCCAUAGUGGCAUGACUUCUUAUGUAAUAAGGCUGAGAGCACGCACACGCACGUACACAGGCGACCCAGUCUACAUCCUUUCCAGAUGAAAGCGCAUGGAGGCCUGGGUAUAAAACAUGUGCCGUCCACAAGGACCCUGCGCCAUGCAUAUAGUGAGCAUGCAUGCCGUGGUGUUUGACUAUUGAGCUACAGCUGCUAGUUUCGUGUCUUUGCAUAUUUCAAAUAAAUUAUUUCCAUGCAUCAAGUGUCUCUCCUCACAAUUUCAUCACAUCCACGUGACCAACUCUGUACAUGGUGGCAAAGGGACUUAAAUGCUUCGUCAUUGUUUUUUUACUUUGUCAUCCUACCCGUAUCUGUUUCUCUAAUCGCUCAUCUGUGUGCGUGUUUCUCUCUGGUUGAUAAUAUCUUUAAUCAUCCACGCAACCCUCGGUCAUUCGUGGACGAGACGUGUGAAAAAAUGCGUUACCAGAUGAGGGAUUCAUCCCUCUAGUUACUAUGGCAGCACAUUGAGACACCGUAGUGACCAUAUCUAUGGUCGUGACCGGCACCUCGUUCCGAAUGGAGCCGAGCGGCGGAGGGGGACAUGACGUCACGUCGUCAGGGAGACCGGGCGCCCCGUGGCACGUGCCCUGUAUAAAAGCGGAAGGCGGCAGUGAGGACUGCGCACACAGACUCAAGAAGCAUCAAGCGGAAGUUAAAAACGACUGUCUGCUGUCGAUGUAGUGAAUCCACUGGCCUGGUCUCUGUUGAAGGUCAUCCCUUUAGCUGAGGAAGGUCACUGCAGGCCCAGAGCUGCUGCAGGAUGCUAACCAGCUGCAGGUCCAUACAGAUAGUCUCUUCUUCACGCAGGCUGUGGAUGGCUGAAGGUCGCCAACAGGCCUGUCUGUCUCAUGCCAAGUGUUUCAGCAAAACACUAAACAUACCUUCUAUUUUGUUGUUUUUAAGAUGAAUGUCAUAGAUCAGCAGAUGACUUCUAUCUUUUAAGUAACCUAAUUUAUACACUUGAAAUGCAUGUAUACUGUUUUUGUUUUUUAAGAAAUCGCCUGCUAUUGUCAAAGAUCCAGUCUAGGAAAUUGGUUAGAAUGACCUUUGAUAGCAUUAAGAUUUCAUAAUGAAAUUGGGCUAUUGGGUUCAUCAAUGUGCUACAUGAUGCACCACGAAAGGCUAGUGUUUCAUAUGAAAGGCAUUAUUAGCUUGCUAAUACUUUAGCUUCCAUUCUGUUCUUGUAGUUGACACAGAUCAGGGUGUUUGCAGAACAGUGACUGGGUUACUGACCGAGCAACGACUCUCACAAGUGAAUAGCCACAGCACACCAGCAACGUGCAGGAGACUAGGAACUCCAGAGUGUCUCUGCACCUAGCUGUUGCAAUUUUAAAGCAUUGUUUUUUUUUUUAAUCUAAUCAUUCAGUGGCAAUGGACUUGGAUGCAAUUGGCAAUGGGCGAGUGGAGGCAGAGGAUGGGGGGGGGGGGGGCUAAGCUCUAGGAAGGAUAUUUUUCAUCUGCCUGCUGACACAAGCUGCUUGGCGGGGGGGAGGGGGACACAGGCAGUGUGUGUGUGUCCCUGCUUAGGUGGUCGCAUGUCUCUCUCCUUUGGCUGCCUCUGCAGUUUGAUACAACACACCUUUUACUAAUUCAUGAUGGCGUCUGUGCUCAUGGCCAAGUCUUGACCUGUACCACACAUCCACCCACGGCUCCAUAUAACGGUUCCAUUCAGUAUCUUGGUCUGUUAGUCUGCUGGAGCUGAAUGAGACUGAGUCGGGCCUGUGGUGGACGUGUAACGGAGUUUACAAAGUGACAUUCUUUCAGUAACAACACAAUUUAAAACUACAGCAAGGAGGUGAUGAGCACAGGAAAGGUUUGUGGUGCACGAAGCUGCUGUGUUCACUCAAAGGUGUAAAACUCAUUGUUCAGGCUUUUGUGGUAUUUCCUUCACCCAUCGGUCAAAAUGAGAACAUUUACUAAUCAAAUAGUCCCUCUAGCCAGUAAACCCACUGCAGUGGAAAAAUACUGUGGGUGUGACAGCGUGUAGGAUGGGGGAGGAAGCGUUCGACUGAGGGAGACAGAAAGCAGGCAGGGGGAGUGACUUGGUGGGAGGAAAAGCGCCUGCGUUCAUUCACUCGCCGUAGGAUUUCUAGUUUAUACAACACAAAACCCAAAGACUGAAUAGCCUUUAGCCAAGUUUAGCUCGGUUAUCGUUUGACUGUUACUCUAACAACUUUAAAAGUAAGUAGUACUUCAAUCCCAUUAUUGCCAUUUAGAAUUUUAUGAAUGUUUUUGGAAGAUUUCCAAUAGUAAAACUCCGGUCCAUGUAAGAGGAAGACCAGAUUCCACAAGACUUUUGACCUACAACAGAGAAAAUAAUCGUUUUACUUGGCAAACUGUUGGUGCUUGACGUCAGAAUUAUUUGCACAAGUGACAUUUGUCACUUUAUACGAUGUGGCCACCGGAUGCUGCCUUUGUCCUCUUAAGGUUGCUUAUCAAGGAGUCCACUUUCCUUUUUUGUGCUCCUCCAUGGUGUGUCGGCAGGUCGACCCCCUAACCUCCCCCCCCCCCCCCCCC
ensembl:lncRNA